rnacentral:rRNA from 1 species
GAUGAACGCUGGCGGCGUGCUUAACACAUGCAAGUCGAACGAAGCACUUUUACAGAUUUCUUCGGAAUGAAGUUUUAGUGACUGAGAGGCGGACGGGUGAGUAACGCGUGGGUAACCUGCCUCACACAGGGGGAUAACAGUUGGAAACGGCUGCUAAUACCGCAUAAGCGCACAGUACCGCAUGGUACAGUAUGAAAAACUCCGGUGGUGUGAGAUGGGCCCGCGUCUGAUUAGCGAGUUGGCAGGGCAACGGCCUACCAAGGCGACGAUCAGUAGCCGACCUGAGAGGGUGACCGGCCACAUUGGGACUGAGACACGGCCCAAACUCCUACGGGAGGCAGCAGUGGGGAAUAUUGCACAAUGGGGGAAACCCUGAUGCAGCGACGCCGCGUGAGCGAAGAAGUAUUUCGGUAUGUAAAGCUCUAUCAGCAGGGAAGAAGAAAUGACGGUACCUGACUAAGAAGCACCGGCUAAAUACGUGCCAGCCGCCGCGGUAA